rnacentral:rRNA from 1 species
GACGAACGCUGGCGGCGUGCUUAACACAUGCAAGUCGUACGGUAAGGCCCUUUCGGGGGUACACGAGUGGCGAACGGGUGAGUAACACGUGAGUAACCUGCCCACAACUUUGGGAUAACGCUAGGAAACUGGUGCUAAUACUGGAUAUGUGCUCCUGCUGCAUGGUGGGGGUUGGAAAGCUCCGGCGGUUGUGGAUGGACUCGCGGCCUAUCAGCUUGUUGGUGGGGUAGUGGCCUACCAAGGCGGCGACGGGUAGCCGGCCUGAGAGGGUGACCGGCCACAUUUGGACUGGGAUACGGCCCAGACUCCUACGGGAGGCAGCGGUGGGGAAUAUUGCACAAUGGGCGCAAGCCUGAUGCAGCAACGCCGCGUGCGGGAUGACGGCCUUCGGGUUGUAAACCGCUUUCAGCAGGGACGAAGCUUUUUGUGACGGUACCUGCAGAAGAAGCACCGGCUAACUACGUG